UACGUAGGGUGCGAGCGUUAAUCGGAAUUACUGGGCGUAAAGCGUGCGCAGGCGGUUUGUUAAGACAGAUGUGAAAUCCCCGGGCUUAACCUGGGAACUGCAUUUGUGACUGGCAAGCUAGAGUAUGGCAGAGGGGGAUGGAAUUCCGCGUGUAGCAGUGAAAUGCGUAGAUAUGCGGAGGAACACCGAUGGCGAAGGCGGCCAUCUGGACGGAUACUGACGCUGAGACGCGAAAGCGUGGGGAGCAAACAGG
rnacentral:rRNA from 1 species